rnacentral:rRNA from 1 species
CUAGUAAUCGUGGAUCAGAAUGCUACGGUGAAUACGUUCCCGGGCCUUGUACACACCGCCCGUCACACCAUGGGAGUGGGUUGCAAAAGAAGUAGGUAGCUUAACCUUCGGGAGGGCGCUUACCACUUUGUGAUUCAUGACUGGGGUGAAGUCGUAACAAGGUAACCGUAGGGGAACCUGCGGUUGGAUCACCUCCUUACCUUAAAGAAGC